rnacentral:lncRNA from 1 species
ACCCCAUCUACCAGCUCAACCCACUGAUUAGAGGAUGACACAUGUCCUAUAAAAUCAAUGACCGAUCAAAUCUCCAAACAAGGAACAUGAUAUAGCACAAUGGUUACAGCUUGGCAUGAUCUCAAUGCACCAAAAAAUGGAAGCCAAAACUAUCUAGAUUGAUAGAUAAGGAAAGAGCUCAAUUGCUCGUCUGAAAAUUGCAUGAUCCGAGUCGCACAGAUCAGUGCCCUGCUCUCUUUGUAAAUC